AUUGAACGCUGGCGGCAGGCCUAACACAUGCAAGUCGAGCGGAUGAAGGGAGCUUGCUCCUGGAUUCAGCGGCGGACGGGUGAGUAAUGCCUAGGAAUCUGCCUGGUAGUGGGGGAUAACGUCCGGAACGGGCGCUAAUACCGCAUACGUCCUGAGGGAGAAAGUGGGGGAUCUUCGGACCUCACGCUAUCAGAUGAGCCUAGGUCGGAUUAGCUAGUUGGUGGGGUAAAGGCCUACCAAGGCGACGAUCCGUAACUGGUCUGAGAGGAUGAUCAGUCACACUGGAACUGAGACACGGCCCAGACUCCUACGGGAGGCAGCAGUGGGGAAUAUUGGACAAUGGGCGAAAGCCUGAUCCAGCCAUGCCGCGUGUGUGAAGAAGGUCUUCGGAUUGUAAAGCACUUUAAGUUGGGAGGAAGGGCAGUAAGUUAAUACCUUGCUGUUUUGACGUUACCAACAGAAUAAGCACCGGCUAACUUCGUG
rnacentral:rRNA from 1 species